rnacentral:rRNA from 1 species
GUCUUCUUGAUUAUAUAAGAAGUCUGACCUGCCCGGUGAAUAUUUUUUAACGGCCGCGGUAUUUUGACCGUGCAAAGGUAGCAUAAUCAUUAGUCUUUUAAUAGGAGGCUGGUAUGAAGGGUUUGACGAAGUGUUGACUGUCUCAUUUUAUGAUGAUUAGAAUUUAAUUUUUCAGUUAAAAAGCUGAAAUUUUAUUGGAAGACGAGAAGACCCUAUAGAGUUUAAUAUUUAAAUUUAUAUUUUAUAAAUUUUGAUUUAUAAAUUUAAAUAUUUUGUUGGGGUGACAAAAAUAUAUAUUUAACUUUUUUAUUUACGGAUCAUUGAUAUAUGUUUAUUAGAUCCAAUCUUAUUGAUUGAUAGAUUAAGUUACC